AUGGCCGAGACCCCGCCGCCACCCGCGGUUGGGGCUGAAAGUUGCAGCGAGGAGCCCGCGAGCGGCGGGGAGCUGCGGCCAGAGGAGCUGCGCCACGCUGCCGCCGGGGUCACGGGGCGAGAGGACGAGGCGCGGCCACAGCCGGCCUCCCCCGCAGGGCAGUCAGAGCCCGACUCGCCGGUAUCCGCCCCCUUCUUCUUGCUCUACCUGGGCGAUGGAGGCGCCGGCUUCGCAGCGCGCCCGCCGCCGCAGCAGCGCUCCUGGAGGACCCCGCCGUCGCCGGGCUCCCCGCUGCCCUUCCUGCUGCUGAGCUACCAGGGCGGCGGCGGCGGCGGCGGCAGCGGCGAGCAGCAUGCUAACUAUCUCGUGGCUAACGAACGCAUGAACCUGAAUAACAUGGCCAAGCUGAGUAUUAAGGGCUUGAUUGAAUCAGCUCUGAACCUGGGGAGGACCUUGGACUCUGACUAUGCACCUCUCCAGCAAUUCUUCGUGGUGAUGGAGCACUGUCUGAAACACGGCUUAAAAGCUAAGAAGGCUUUUCUUGGACAAAAUAAGUCCUUCUGGGGGCCGCUAGAACUGGUAGAAAAGCUUGUUCCAGAAGCUGCAGAGAUAACAGCAAGUGUUAAAGAUCUUCCGGGACUUAAGACACCAGUAGGCAGAGGAAGAGCCUGGCUUCGUUUGGCAUUAAUGCAAAAGAAACUCUCAGAAUAUAUGAAAGCUUUGAUCAAUAAGAAAGAACUUCUCAGUGAAUUCUAUGAACCCAAUGCUCUCAUGAUGGAAGAAGAAGGAGCCAUAAUUGCUGGACUGUUGGUGGGUCUGAAUGUCAUUGAUGCCAAUUUCUGUAUGAAAGGAGAAGAUCUGGACUCUCAGGUUGGAGUUAUAGAUUUUUCAAUGUAUCUCAAGGAUGGGAACAGCAGCAAAGGUAGUGAAGGAGAUGGUCAGAUUACUGCAAUUCUGGACCAGAAGAACUAUGUAGAGGAACUCAACAGACACCUGAAUGCUACCGUAAAUAACCUCCAGGCAAAAGUAGAUGCAUUAGAAAAAUCCAACACUAAACUGACAGAAGAGCUUGCAGUUGCAAACAACAGGAUUAUUACCUUGCAAGAAGAAAUGGAACGAGUUAAAGAGGAAAGUUCCUACAUACUGGAAUCCAAUCGGAAGGGUCCUAAGCAAGACAGAACUUCAGAAGGGCAAGCACUAAGUGAAGCAAGAAAGCAUUUGAAGGAGGAGACGCAAUUACGAUUGGACGUUGAGAAGGAACUGGAGAUCCAGAUCAGCAUGCGGCAGGAGAUGGAGCUGGCCAUAAAGAUGCUGGAGAAGGACGUGUGUGAGAAGCAGGACGCCCUGGUGUCCCUUCGGCAGCAGCUGGAUGACCUCAGGGCUCUCAAGCACGAACUCGCCUUCAAGCUGCAGAGUUCAGACUUAGGCGUAAAAUAGAAAAGUGAACUAAACAGUCGCUUGGAAGAGAAGACUAACCAGAUGGCUGCUACCAUCAAGCAACUGGAGCAAAGAUUGCGCCAGGCUGAGCGAGGCCGCCAGUCUGCUGAGUUGGACAACCAGCUCUUCAAACAGGAUUUCGGAGACAAGAUCAACAGUCUGCAGCUGGAGGUGGAGGAGCUCACCAGGCAGCGGAACCAGCUUGAAUUAGAACUAAAACAGGAAAAAGAAAGAAGAUUU